UACAGAGGUCUCAAGCGUUGUUCGGAUUCAUUGGGCGUAAAGGGUGCGUAGGCGGCGCGGUAAGUCGGGUGUGAAAUCUCGGAGCUUAACUCCGAAACUGCAUUCGAUACUGCCGUGCUUGAGGACUGGAGAGGAGACUGGAAUUUACGGUGUAGCGGUGAAAUGCGUAGAUAUCGUAAGGAAGACCAGUGGCGAAGGCGGGUCUCUGGACAGUUCCUGACGCUGAGGCACGAAGGUCAGGGGGAGCAAAACGGGG
rnacentral:rRNA from 1 species